UCAUCUUCAAGGGGCAGGGUGUAAUUCCCGACCGGUGGUAUAGUCCAUGACCCGUCUACGGACGGCUGACUCGGUGUAAUUCCGAGACCGAUAGUUAAAGUCUAGAUGAAAUAGAAGAAUG
rnacentral:ncRNA from 1 species